ensembl:lncRNA novel transcript
ACCCUCGCCAAGUGUCUGAAAGCCCAGCGGCAGCCUGGCUCCUUCCCUCACCAACUCAUUCAUUCAUUGCCUGACCCCAUUUCCCAAGCUGGUGACCACGGCUGGUCAGGACUCGCUUCUAAAGGGCGCGGGGUCUGGCUUCCUCACCAGCAGCCACAGGGCACAGCUCCCGGACCAGCCGGCAGCCCCUCCCAAGGAGGAGGUUAUUCUGGAGACAAAGGCAGCGCCCUGAGGUAGAGUAUGAUCCUGUGUCCAUCAACACUUCCUAACGUGCAUGUAGAAGCUAAAAUUGUUAAGAUUUGCGAAAUACUUUUACCUCGAAGUUGGCAGUGACAUCAUUCUGUUUUUUCCUGGGUGCGGAGGAGUAAUUUCAGAAGGAGACAUUUUGUAAAAUUAAAAGAGGCAUGAGCUCCUCCUUCCUGGCAACCUGGGGGAUCACAAAGACAGACGGCACCUCCCCAGGCACCUGCGCCUGUGUCCGACGGCAAAGCCAUUGUCAAGCGAACCUGAUGCUGUCACUGGUCACCCGGAGCCCAUCAGCAUGUUGACCCGGGGCCCAUCAGCAUGUUGAAGG